rnacentral:lncRNA from 1 species
ACUUCUCUUCUUCCAGCACUCCAGCCCUCUCUGUGGCCCUGGGACCUCAUUUGGCAGGCUGUUGGCUCACCCCAGAGUGGCAGAUAAGAGUUGUGAGUGCGCACAGCCCAUUAAAAGCUGUUCAGAUCUGCCUACCUUGGGGCAUUUUGAGGCAGAUCUCCUUGGAGGAGUCUCUGAUUCCAGACCAAUGGCUCUAUAAGGUCAUAGGUACGAGUGGCAGGGAGCAUCUGUGACCAAAAGGACCAAGCUGGCAGAAGUAUCCUCAUUUACCAAUAUCAAAUCUGAGACCUGGUGAGACUUGGGUGACCAUCUGGUUGGAAUCUUGGAAUACCUUCUAUCAUCUUUAGAAUGAAUGAGAAAGUUUCACGAGUAUAGGUUGUUUCCAAUUUCUGGAUACUAUGAAUAGAGCAGCAAUGAACAUGGCUGACCAAGUGGUUCUGUGGUGUAGGAUACCAUUUCCUGUUGCAUGCAAGAUAUAGGACUCCCAGCUACUUCUCCAGCACCAUGUCUGUCUGCCUGCCGCCAUGUCUCACCAUAAUGAUAAUGGACUGAAUUUCUGAAACUGUAAGCCAUACCAGUUAAAUGUUUACCUUUAUAAAAGUUGCCAUGGACAUGGUGUCUCUUCUCAGCAAUAGAAACCCCAACUAAGACAAUGCCCAAGAGUGUAAUGCCUGGAUCUUGAGGUAGAUCAGUGCCCAUCUUCCUGAGGAGCUGUCACACGAAAUCCAUAGUGACUGUACAAGUUUGCAGUCCUAACAACAAUGGACGAGUGUUCACCCCUUCACCACAUCCUUGCCAGCAGGAGCUGUCAUUUGCCUUAUUCAUCUUGGUCAUUCUGAUGGGUGUUAAGAGGAAAGAGGACGGGCGUGGUUUUGAUUUGCAUUUCCCUGUUGAUUAAGGAUGUUGAACAUUUCUUGAAGUGUCUCUCAGCCAUCUGAGUUUUGUCUUUUGAGAAUUCUCUGUUUAAAUCCAUACCCCAUUUUUAAAUUGUAUUGUUUUUCUUGAUAUCCAGUUUUUGAGUUCUUUAUCUGUAUUAGUUAUUAGUCCUCAAUUAUAUAUGUAAUUGGUAAAAACAAAACAAAACAAAACAACCCCCCCCUUUUCUCAUUCUGUAGGCUGUUGCUUUUCUGAAUGGUGUCCCUUGCUGUGCAGAAACUUUUCAGUUUCAUAAGGUUCCAUUUAUUAAUUGUUGAUCUUAGUGCCUGUGCUAAUGGUUUUCCAUUCAGAAAGCUUUUUUUUUGUCCCAAUGAGUUCAAGGCUAUUCCCCACUUUCUCUUUUAUCAGAUUCAGCGUCUCUCUCUCUCUCUCUCUCUCUCUCUCUCUCUCUCUCUCUCUCUCUCUCUGUGUGUGUGUGUGUGUGUGUGUGUUUUAGAUCUUUGGUCCAUUUGCAGUUGAGUUUUGUUCAGGGUAAUAAAGGUGGAUCUGUUUGCAUUCUUCUAUUCUACAUGCAGCCAUCCAGUUUGCACAGCACCAUUUGUUGAAGAUGCUCUCUUUUUUUCCAUUGUGUAUUUCAG